CCGGGAAGGUCCAGCCCAUUGGUCCGUGAGCUCCCGCGCUUCUUGGAAUUCAAUGACUGAGUUGCAGAGUUGGGAUCCUCCCUGUUGGAGCCUGACUGCCAACCCGUCCGGUUCGAGCGAGCUGACCAUUUUAGGGAAUAGAGUUGAGACUUAACGAGAGGUGCCGCUCAUGUUUAGGGGAUAAGGAAUCUUACUAAAGCGUUCUGUACGCCUUCUUUUCUCAGAGGUGAGGGGAGCAAAUCGAGUCCGUAUUAGCUUUUUAGGUUUUCGAUUUUUUUUCGAGGCAGGGUUUCUCUGUGUAACAAGAGCCCUGGCUGUCCUGGACUUGCUUUGUAGCCCAGGCUGGCCUCGAACUCAGAUCUGCCUGCCUCUGGGAUUAAAAGCAUGCGCCACCGCGCCCGGCUGUCGCAUAUAUUUUUGCUGUCACCAUUCCCCACAAGACCCGGAAUUUUAUCUCAUCAAGAAUAAAUGAAGUCGCCGGGCGGGAGUGCUAGCGCACAUCUUUAACCACAACACUCGGGAGGCAGAGGCCAGCCUGGUCUACGGCGUUCUAGGACAACCAGAGCUGUUCAGUGAAACCUGUCUGGAAAAACAACAAAAAAAAUGUUCGGGGGAUGGAGAGAUGGCUCAGAGGUUAAGAGCACUGGCUUCUCUUCCAGAAUUCCUGAGUUCAAUUCCCAGCAACCACGUGAUGGCCCGUUACCAUCUAUAAUGAGAUCUGGUGCCCUCUGCUGGUAAG